rnacentral:tRNA from 6 species
GCGUCUGUAGUUCAGUGGUAGAACGCUGUCCUGAUAAGACAGAGGUCGUAAGUUCGAUUCUUACCAGACGCACUA